ACGAACGCUGGCGGCGUGCUUAACACCUGCAAGUCGAACGGAAAGGCCCCUUUGGGGGUACUCGAGUGGCGAACGGGUGAGUAACACGUGAGUAACCUGCCCUUGACUUCGGGAUAACUUCAGGAAACUGGGGCUAAUACCGGAUAGGAAUCCUUGCUGCAUGGUGGGGGUUGGAAAGCUUCGGCGGUUUUGGAUGGACUCGCGGCUUAUCAGCUUGUUGGUGGGGUAGUGGCUUACCAAGGCUUUGACGGGUAGCCGGCCUGAGAGGGCGACCGGCCACAGUGGGACUGAGAUACGGCCCAGACUCCGACGGGAGGCAGCAGUGGGGAAUAUUGCACAAGGGGCGGAAGCCUGAUGCAGCAACGCCGCGGGCGGGAUGACGGCCUUCGGGUUGUAAACCGCUUUCAGCAGGGGCGAAGCUUGUGGUGACGGUACCUGCAGAAGAAGCACCGGCUAACUACGUG
rnacentral:rRNA from 1 species